GGGCAGUGGAUGGCACCAGGCACCGUGGAGCAGGAGCGUCGCUCCUCGGGGAGGCUCUAGCUGCACAGGAGCCCGCCGGUGGGGGUGGGGAGGCUCAGGCAUGGCAGGCUGCAGGUCUUGGGGAGGCAGCUAAGGCCCGGCGAGAAAUAGAGCACAGCAGCUGGUGGCCCAGGUGCUAAGCCCCUCACUGCCCAGGGCCAGCCGCUGUGAGUGCGGGGCUCCCCACGCCUACAUGGAACUCGCGCUGGCCCACAAGCACCAUGCACAGCAGCAGUUCCCGCCCGCGCCUCUCCCUCCACACCGCCCAGCAAGCUGAGGGAGCCGGCCUGGGCCAGUCCAGAAAGGGGCUCCCACAGUGCAGCUGCGGGAUGAAGGGCUCCUCAAGCACGGCCAGAGUAGGCGCCAAGGCCGAGGAGGCGCCGAGAGGGACCGAGGGCUGCCAGCACGCUGUCACCUUUCAAGGGGUCUUAUCUGGCUUGCCAAAACAUCAAAGACCUAGACGUUUUUGCCAGAACACAGGAAGUUAAAGUGGACCCUGAUAAACCACUGGAAGGCGUUCGGCUGCUGGUGC
rnacentral:lncRNA from 10 species